AAAUCACAUCCAAAAGUCCCAGUGGACCACACCAGAUAACACAGUAAAAAUUGAAAUUGAACAUUUAUGGGAGCCACAUAAGUUUUAGAUGAAGCUAAUAUUUGGUCCGUGCAGCAACCUCCACGUUAUGAACAAGUCUGAAUGACAAAUGAACAUUUUUGGAAAGCAUCAACGGUGGAUUGAUAUCAUUAUCCUCAGUGUUUCCCACUUGAUCUUGGGAUAUGCUACAAUUUUAGGCUAUCCUCUGAAAUGAGCUGGCAAAGCUUAUCGACGGCAUCACGGUAGAUCCCACAAAGUCAUUACACCGCGUGGCUCCGCGUCGGCCAUGGGCUUCCAGUAUAUACGGGACCCACCACUUGUCAAUUUCGCUGCAUGUUCCAGGAAUGGGACAACGGGGGACCAGUGCUUUACAAAAAUAAAAUUUCGCUCGCUGGAAAUAUUGAGGAAAAGAGCGAAGCGAGAAACUAGGGAGGAAAUAUUUCUCGGCCCUACCGGCCGUUAGCGGUUGCGUCCGGUCCAAGCGAACAGAGUUCACGGCACCCUGAGGCCGUAACCUGUUGUCUGGUCCAAGCCACUUUAGACGGACGGGUUGGACAUCUAACAAUGAAACUAUACUAAAUAAAUGAAUCUAUGAAAGGAAGAAAUGAGUUAAAAAAAAACUUUAAAAGACUCAAUAAUAAUUUUUAAUAGAGAAGUUGGAAAAUAAGGGUUUCUUUUCCACAAAAUUGUUUUGGCCGUCCAAUCCGUGUCCUUCCUAAAGAUGUGGUGGUGUGUAUACCACACACCAGGCAUGCCUUACCCUCAAAACGAAUGGACAUAUUUUGAUAUUUAAUGUGUGAUCCACCGCCAUCAAUUUCUUUUAUAAAGCAACAAUACAAGGCCGGCGCACUGUAUGCAGAGAGCUACAGGGCAAUCACCGGCUACAAGCAACAAUAAAACAAACCAAAAGAUGAGCGGGGAAAAAAAAGAAGAAGAAGAGGGUGAAACAGCAGCCACAAAACACAAACGGCUGGGAAAGCAAGUAAAAAGAUGGAGCUCCAAUUGGCUCUUUUGGAAGUAGAGUAUUAACAUGCAAGGACUUCUCUGGCUGAUAGGAAUUGAAACCUCCAAGAGUACGAUGAA